UCUCUCGCGUUCUCCUCUCUCAAGCCGCUUCUCUUCUCACUUGGGUGAUCUCCAUCUCUAUCUCGUGGCUUUACUCACCGGUGAAGGUUUCUCAAAAAGAUCAAAAUCACUUUGAUAUAGUGGAACUGGAAGGUAUUACCAGCGCCCAAGUCUGAGCUCCUUCGACCUUAGGCUCUUGAUUCCUUUGCUUUCAGGUUUUAUUCUGGAGCAGAGGGAGCCUUAGUCGAGUUUUGGGAGGAACUAGUUUUAGCUUUAAAAGUAUAGCCUUUGUUUUGGAAGUUUGAUGCUUAGCUUUGUAGUAUUGUGUAUUUUAGGAUCUAAUGAAAGUUGUGUACUUUAAUAUAUUAAUAGAUGUAUUAUGUGAAAUUCCGAAACUGAAUGACUGGUGGAUUAAGUUAUCCCUUGGAGUACAAUGUAGAUGCUUUGAAUAUCAAGUGAAAAAUUAUAUAAUAAAGUAAAGAAA